AUUGAACGCUGGCGGCAUGCCUUACACAUGCAAGUCGAACGGCAGCAUGGAGAGCUUGCUCUCUGAUGGCGAGUGGCGAACGGGUGAGAAAUGCAUCGGAACGUACCGUGUAAUGGGGGAUAACGUAGCGAAAGUUACGCUAAUACCGCAUACGACCUGAGGGUGAAAGCAGGGGAUCGCAAGACCUUGCGUUAUACGAGCGGCCGAUGUCAGAUUAGCUAGUUGGUGAGGUAAAGGCUCACCAAGGCGACGAUCUGUGGCGGGUCUGAGAGGAUGAUCCGCCACACUGGGACUGAGACACGGCCCAGACUCCUACGGGAGGCAGCAGUGGGGAAUUUUGGACAAUGGGGGCAACCCUGAUCCAGCCAUGCCGCGUGAGUGAAGAGGCCUUCGGGUUGUAAAGCUCUUUCGGCCGGGAAGAAAUCGCACAGGCUAAUACUCUGUGUGGAUGACGGUACCGGCACAAGAAGCACCGGCUAACUACGUGCCAACAGCCGCCGCUG
rnacentral:rRNA from 1 species